rnacentral:rRNA from 1 species
UACAGAGGGGGCAAGCGUUGUUCGGAAUUACUGGGCGUAAAGGGCGCGUAGGCGGCCUGUUAAGUCGAACGUGAAAUCCCCGGGCUCAACCCGGGAACUGGCGUCCGAUACUGGAAGGCUUGAAUCCGGGAGAGGGAUGGCGGAAUUCCAGGUGUAGCGGUGAAAUGCUUAGAUAUGACAUAGAACACCGAUUGCGAAGGCAGCUUACUAUGGUGUCAUUGCGCUGAGGCACGAAAGCGUGGGGAU